rnacentral:rRNA from 1 species
GACGAACGCUGGCGGCGUGCUUAACACAUGCAAGUCGAACGGAAAGGCCCUGCUUUUGUGGGGUGCUCGAGUGGCGAACGGGUGAGUAACACGUGGGUAACCUGCCCUUGACUUUGGGAUAACUUCAGGAAACUGGGGCUAAUACCGGAUAGGAGCUCCUGCUGCAUGGUGGGGGUUGGAAAGUUUCGGCGGUUGGGGAUGGACUCGCGGCUUAUCAGCUUGUUGGUGGGGUAGUGGCUUACCAAGGCUUUGACGGGUAGCCGGCCUGAGAGGGUGACCGGCCACAUUGGGACUGAGAUACGGCCCAGACUCCUACGGGAGGCAGCAGUAGGGAAUAUUGCACAAUGGGCGGAAGCCUGAUGCAGCAACGCCGCGUGCGGGAUGACGGCCUUCGGGUUGUAAACCGCUUUCGCCUGUGACGAAGCGUGAGUGACGGUAAUGGGUAAAGAAGCACCGGCUAACUACGUG